rnacentral:rRNA from 1 species
UAACAAGGUCUCCGUUGGUGAACCAGCGGAGGGAUCAUUACUGAGUUUACGCUCUAUAACCCUUUGUGAACAUACCUAUAACUGUUGCUUCGGCGGGCAGGGUCUCCGUGACCCUCCCGGCCUCCCGCCCCCGGGCGGGUCGGCGCCCGCCGGAGGAUAACCAAACUCUGAUUUAACGACGUUUCUUCUGAGUGGUACAAGCAAAUAAUCAAAACUUUUAACAACGGAUCUCUUGGUUCUGGCAUCGAUGAAGAACGCAGCGAAAUGCGAUAAGUAAUGUGAAUUGCAGAAUUCAGUGAAUCAUCGAAUCUUUGAACGCACAUUGCGCCCGCCAGCAUUCUGGCGGGCAUGCCUGUUCGAGCGUCAUUUCAACCCUCAAGCUCUGCUUGGUGUUGGGGCCCUACAGCUGAUGUAGGCCCUCAAAGGUAGUGGCGGACCCUCCCGGAGCCUCCUUUGCGUAGUAACUUUACGUCUCGCACUGGGAUCCGGAGGGACUCUUGCCGUAAAACCCCCCAAUUUUCCAAAGGUUGACCUCGGAUCAGGUAGGAAUACCCGCUGAACUUAAGCAUAUC